ACGGGUCCACCUGAGCCCAUUGAGGCAGCUGUGGCCAGGUUCUUCUCAGCCAGCUGUGUUCCCGGUGCAGAUAAAGGACAGUUCCCCAACCUGUGUCGCCUGUGUGCGGGGACAGGGGAAAACAAAUGUGCCUUCUCCUCCCAGGAACCGUACUUCAGCUACUCUGGUGCCUUCAAGUGUCUGAGAGACGGGGCUGGAGACGUGGCUUUUAUCAGAGAGAGCACAGUGUUUGGUAAGAGCAGGGUAAUGAGCCGUGGGUACUGACCCCUUUUAUCUUACUUGAUCAUGACUCUGACCUUUGAGCUAAUUAGAUUCCUAAGUUCAUGGCAGACCAUUUUCAAGAUUCCUACAGGGCACAGCUCUGAUUUUAUGAUCUUUCAUAUUUUAAAUGAUCAGUUUUCUUCAAACCUCCUGUGCCUACUGCCUUUCUCUUCCCCUCAUAGACACCCAUGCCUAGGUGCUUGGCAAUGCGUCCUCCAGUCCUCCAAGACACAUGUGCUCAUGCAGAACAGAUUGUGCUGGU
rnacentral:lncRNA from 10 species